rnacentral:tRNA from 1 species
GCCCGAGUGGUGAAAUCGGUAGACACAGCAGAUUUAAAAUCUGCCGACUCAAAAAAGUCGUGCCGGUUCAAUUCCGGCCUCGGGCACCA